UACAGAGGCCUCGAGCGUUAGGCGGAAUCACUGGGCUUAAAGCGUGUGUAGGUGGAUGCCUAAGUACCUUGUGAAAUCCCACGGCUUAACCAUGGAAUUGCUUGGUAUACUGGGUGUCUUGAGCCACUCAGGGGCGAGCGGAACAAACGGUGGAGCGGUGAAAUGCGUAGAUAUCGUAAGGAAGACCAGUGGCGAAGGCGGGUCUCUGGACAGUUCCUGACGCUGAGGCACGAAGGUCAGGGGAGCAAACGGG
rnacentral:rRNA from 1 species